CAAGAAAUCAGAGAUUCAUUCUGACAUUCUAAUAGAAUUUAUGCUCGAUCUAACACUGACUGCUGUAAACGUUGAUAAUUUAGGGACCAUUUAUUAGCGGUUGUAAAAUGUUCUCUCUCUUUGCUCGAUUUUGGUUGGACAGACCGGGUCACAUGACACUUCUAAAUGACAAUGGUUAUUUUCUAGGAAAGCUAGCCUUGCCCAUCGUCUUGUUCUCGUAAUGUUAUUUGAUUCUGAGUUACAAUGAUGAUCGGAAAAUAACCCACACAAAAAUAACUGAAUAUUAAUAUAUUAUUUUGAUCUGGUUCUUCGAAUACAUCACAAGGAUAUCUAUCUCCAAAGCCAAUGUAUGAUCCUACGCUGGAAAAAGAUUACGAAGAACGAGAACUACCUGGAUGCUUGGUGUUUAUCUGCGAAUCAUCAACGCAAGAAUACGUCAGAUAAUUUGGAUUUACGUCCCAUACUUAACACAAGAUACAGAAAAAGUAAAAAAUAUUUGGCUCUUAGAGAAAGCGAACAAUUUGAACCUGGGGAAGACAGUAAUUUGGAAAACUACAAGCAACUAUAAGUGAAGACGGUUUUACAUUCAUGAUCAACAGAAACAUUGAUUCCAGAUUGUUUGGAGAAGCUGCCUGAGCCUUAAAAAUAUAAGUAAUAUAUACUUUAUAGUAAGAUUCCAUUUGCUCUUCAUACUCCUUAUAAGUCUGUUGGUACAGUGUUGAAAUUGUGAUUGUUUUCCUCUGGAAACAAUAAAG